GGCACAGUGUUGGCACAGUCCAUACUGGAACCAUUUACAUUUGGACUCGUCGCCCCCCUCCUAAGAGGAAGGUCGCCCGUUCGAAUCGGGCCGGGGUCACCA
rnacentral:tRNA from 1 species